UGAGAAGCUGCGAAGAUGGCGGAGUAAGGCGUGCCGCUGCAAACUGGCCUCUGGGCCGGGGGCGAGCAGCCCCCGGGAGGCCGAGUGCAUCUGUUGGACCGUGCGAGGAGAAGAAAAAAAAUAUCGGCCAGAGGAGAGGAACUAACCGAACAUUCUUCCUCCCUACCUUAUAGAGGGGAGUGGUCAUCUACACUAAAGCAAAGUGUUAGGCGCGUCCGUGCGAAGAGACCACCAAACAGGCUUUGUGUUCCUUAUCACAGGAAGAAAAUUUUCCUUGACCUUUAGGUGCUUUUAUAUUCAUCUCAAAAACAAAAUUCUGAACUCAGGACUUGGCAAUCUCUCUCUGUUGCCCAGGCUGGAGUGAUGCGUGAUUUCUGCUCACUGCAGUCUCUCCCACCCGGGUUCAAGCGAUUCUCCUGCCUCAGCCUCCCAAGUAGCUAGGAUUACAGGCGCGCACCACCACGCUCAGCCUGAUUUCUAGGCUGAAAAGGCUGGGACUCAGGUACUUUCCCCAGUUGGGACUGAACUUUCUCAUCAGAGAAUGGGCCUCAGAAGCAAUGUUCCCAAACUUGUGGUUGGGUCAUCGUGGAAAAGAAACCUCAAAUAAGAAAAAUAAUUACAAUAAGAAAUGGAUUUUCUUUUUUCCCACAACAGUUAUACAUUAUAAAGAACAGACUGUCGUAGAAAACUGUCUUUGCUUCCAAAUCAGCAGAGGACCAUUGUAUGUAUUGUCAGGUCUUUAUAUAAGAGUGAAACCUUUAUUUAUGCUUCUUGUGAGUAGAG
rnacentral:lncRNA from 1 species